UGAAAAUUUGUCUACCCAUCUAUGUUUGCAAAGUCUGGGGCUGUAGAUCGUGAGAGUUUAAAUUGUGCAGAUUAGAAGGGGGUAUGCUCUUAAUGGGUCUGAACUUAGGAGAAUUGAUCUGAAGUGGGGGAGGACAUCGGCGAUGGCCAAGAUCAAAUCAGAGCCGUCGAGUAAUGACGUCGUUUCCAGAGCUAAGACGACAAAUUGUCCAAUCCGACGAGAUCUCUGUUCUCUGAUCUAUCUAUUUACUUUGAUAAGUUAGCAAAUAAGUAAAUAACUUGUUGUUUCUUUAUUUAUUCUUUUUUUUUAAUUCGAAACAAAUGCCUUGAUGUAAUUGCUUGCAAUGAUACCAGAUUUAUAAGCAAUACAUGAUUGUUCCCUAUAUAUGUUGUAUUGCC
rnacentral:lncRNA from 1 species